GUCCGCCCAAGGCUAAACAACAGGAUCAUGUACAACAAGUUCCCAGGAAAUCAACUUGAAUACAUACAUGAUCAAAACAAUAGCGAGGGCACAACCAGUGCCGAACAUUACAAGAGCAAGCAUCACAAGCGUAAACAAGUGAAUAAAAGAGAGAUAUAACUAUCUAUUACAUCACAUUUGACAUUCAACAUUUAAUACAACUUGGUUACAUUUAAGCUUCCAAAAUGAAUACAUAAUCAUAUCACAUAUACAUAAUGCUAGCUAUCCAAAAUACAUCAUGUCAUCUAUAACCAUGCACACGAGGGUGCUCUAGUACAAUAGGAAAGCUCUACUAGCUAGCUAGGGCGCUAUGCCCUUACCGCGAUCACCUGCCGGUCCGUUCACAUGUGUACCUGUACCCCAAAACCACACGGGGUGAGAACUAUAUAAAUAUAGUUCCCAGUGGGUUCGGCCGCCGACUCCGCCGAUCUUCCCACUAGGUCUAAGCUGGCACAGAUAGAUAGAUAGAGAGAUAGAUAGAUAUUGAACUGCAACUAUGAUCUAUUGUGCCAUCAAAUGCAAGCAACGCAUGAAAUAUCAACUAGCAAUAAGCCUACUAUCAUGAUAAUAUGCUUCAGCGAUGUAAUGAAUACAAAUACGACACAGUUAUGCAAUCCACUAACAUAUACUAUGUCUAAUCAGGGUAUGAAUGCAAAUCCACUUAUGCCAUUCAUGUCAUUACCCAAUCCACUAGGCUACCCCGCCUAAGAUCUCGACCACAUGGGUGAAGGACUACCCCGCCCUUGUCUCACCCGUCUCACAACUCUAACACUAUAGGUAAAGAGCUACCCCGCUCCUCGCCCAACUCAUAACUCAAAUGCCUAAGGGCAUGAGCUACCCCGCUCUUCGCUCCGACUCUAACUCAAACUCAUAGGUCAAGAGCUACCCCGCUCAUAGGUCAAGAGCUACCCCGCUCAUAGGUAAAGAGCUACCCCGCUCAAAGGUCAAGAGCUACCCCGCUCGUAGGUAAAGAGCUACCCCGCUCAUAGGUAAAGAGCUACCCCGCUCAAAGGUCAAGAGCUACCCCGCUCGUAGGUAAAGAGCUACCCCGCUCAUAGGUAAAGAGCUACCCCGCUCAAAUCUCACAGGUGAAGAGCUACCCCGCCCUUCGCCCGACUCACUUCCCAGUCCAAUGGGUGGGGAGCUACCCCGCUCGUAUCCCACCCGAUAAGCUACCCCGCUCGUGAGCUACCCAGCUCGUGUGACAACUCCGGAGUGCACUGCUUGUGGGGAGCGACCGCCACAAGCCCAAAACAGACUAUGUGAGUAUAAUCCAAUCCUCGCCAACUGAGGAUACCCUGUCAACUAGGUUAACAAUCACUUGAUAAUCCACCUAUCCCUAGGUCCAUGUCAAGUGUCUCAACCAUAUCAAAUCUCGAUGCCACUCACCUAGGUCUAAGCAACUCUAGGUUCCACAACACUAGGUUUAAUGUCAACCUAUGUUUAACAACAUUAUAUUAAUGCCACUCGAUCUAUCCUAGGUUCACGACACUAGGUUUAGAUGCCACAUAAUCUCCAUAAUUAACAAUAGGUUAACAUUCAUUUC
rnacentral:lncRNA from 1 species